rnacentral:rRNA from 1 species
GAUGAACGCUAGCUACAGGCUUAACACAUGCAAGUCGAGGGGUAACGAGAGGAAAGCUUGCUUUCCUUGUCGACGACCGGCGCACGGGUGAGUAAUGCGUAUCCAACCUGCCCCCAACUAAGGAAUAACCUUGCGAAAGUAAGACUAAUACCUUAUAAUUUCCUCAGAUGUCAUCUGACGAGGAAUAAAGAUUUAUCGGUUGUGGAUGGGGACGCGUCUGAUUAGCUUGUUGGCGGGGUAACGGCCCACCAAGGCAACGAUCAGUAGGGGUUCUGAGAGGAAGGUCCCCCACGUUGGAACUGAGACACGGUCCAAACUCCUACGGGAGGCAGCAGUGAGGAAUAUUGGUCAAUGGGCGGAAGCCUGAACCAGCCAAGUAGCGUGCAGGAUGACGGCCCUAUGGGUUGUAAACUGCUUUUAUACAGGAAUAAAGUUAGCCACGUGUGGUUAUUUGUAGGUACUGUAUGAAUAAGGACCGGCUAAUUCCGUGCCAGCCGCCGCCGUAA